AACGAACGCUGGCGGCAUGCCUAACACAUGCAAGUCGAACGAGACCUUCGGGACUAGUUGCGCAUGGGUGCGUCACGCGUGGGAAGCUGCCCUUAGGUUCGGAAUACCUCCCCGACAGGGGUGCUAAUACCGGAUAAUGUCUUCUGACCAAAGAUUUAUCGCCUUUGGAUGGGCACGCGUUGGUUUAGCUUGUUGGUAGGGUAAGAGCCUACCAAGGCGUCGAUCCAUAGCUGGUCUGAGAGGCAGCGCAGCCACACUGAGACUGGGACCCGGCCCGGACUCCUACGGGAGGCAGCAGAGGGGGAUAUUGGACAAUGGGGGGAGGGCUGAACCAGCACGGGCGGGAGAGUGAUGAUGGCCUGAGAGUUGUAAAGCUGGUUUACCCGGGAUGAUAAUGACGGUACCGGAAGAAUAAGCACCGGCUAACUCCGUG
rnacentral:rRNA from 1 species